AACGCGCGCGCGACUUUGCCUAUGAUUGUGUGUGCUCGCUAACUGCUCGAUUCUUUUAUUUAAAUGUUUAAGUGUUUGUACUGCACGAUUUUAAACUACACACAAGAAAAAGCGAGAAAUAAAAAUUCUUACGUUUCGUCUUCACUUGACUCGAUUUCGGCACAAACACACAAAAACUACGAUCGUAUGUGUUAUUGCAUUAACAAUCUAUCGAUCAAAAUUCAUUUUUUUUUUGUUUUCGUUCGUUCGUUCAUUUAGUGGGUCUAAGUAUUUUAAAAAUUCAUCGAUGUCAUCAAAAAUUAUCCAUCAUUGGAUGUUUUUAAAACUGUCAUGCACGUGUGUGUAUAUGUAUUGUGCAUUAGCAUGCAUAUUAGCGGCAAAACCGCGCCGAAUUCGAGAAUAUAACGUAAUUAUUAUAAUCAUACAUAGAUAUUCGAGAAUGUGAGUGCGUCGGCGCGCGCAUAUUCGUGUUUCCGUGUGUUGAGAUGUCGGCAUGUGUGACUUAAUUCAGUUCAGGCAAUCUCUGUUGGCUGGAUGUUUGCCUGUGUGUGUUACAAAUCGCAAGAAAAAACACAAAUAUUUUUCAUUCCUUGCCAAAUUUGGUUAUUCGUUUUGAGAUGCUCGAGUUUGAGAACAAAUACAUGUUUGAACGGAACAACACGGCGCAUAUACAUAUGAAAAACAAAUCAGUUUUGUUUCCCAAAAAAAACGCUUCAAUCAAAUGGAUCUCUCAGAUGUACUCCUUUAUGUAAACAUGUAUGUAAUUCUUGGUGAGAAUGAUAGGGUAAAUUUGUAUUUCUACAAGGAAGGCAUUCCAAAAGGAUAAAGUAUUUUCUAGAAUACUAUUUUGAGGAUCUUCAAUAUAUAUAAUAUCCAAACAAUUGAAUUCAAACAAUGCACAGUUUUGUAAAGAACAUUUAUUUUUGUGUGGAAUUGCUCCACAUUCAAUCAAAAAUACACGACAUUUGGCGUUUUUCAUCAGCGUAAAGGUAAAAAAAAAUGCAUUAACACCUAAAAUAUUAGCCAAAUAAAAUGAUCCCUGUCUUGGAACUUGAAAUUUUAUUUGACACAUUAAAUUCAUUUUUCGCCAUUCAAAUAUUUCAAACGAAAUGUCUUUUAUAUUUUUGGUAUUAAUAUGUUCAAGAUACACUUGUAUUUUUGUAGCAGCUAAAGGAAAAUAAACAUGCAAGAAAAAUAGGACAUUAUCUUGAAUUUCAAAUUCAAUUGUUUUGUUAUACCAUGUAGCAAUAAUGUGAAGAAGUACAAAAUAACUCUCACAUUCAAAAUGUAUGGCCAACUAUAGCUAAUUUUAUGCGCACAUUUCAUUUUUGGCAUUGGGCACCCCCUCCCAUCGAAAAUUUCAAAAAGUACCCCCAAAAUAAGGGGGUAUUUGCUCACGAAAGGCAGUUCGAUUAUAAGUUUUCGAUAAGUAUGGUCUGUACGAAAUGAUGAGAACAAAUCAAUUACUACGAGACGAUUUUGGAAUAUGAUUUUCGAUCUCGAAGAAAUCGAUCGUAUUAUAUCUGUGAAUAAGCAGUUUGAGUGCCAAAUCGUUUCGGAUGGGAUAUCGGCAUCAGUUUUGUACAGUUUUUUAGGCAGCGAAUUGCAAUUCGAUUCGUCUAGUGCAAGAGAUAAGUAUCGGAAAAAUAAGUUUGUGUAUGAGAUCGGAAUCGACCCCGGAUUGAACACAUGGAAUGCCUCGGUUCGUUGAAAUAUUCGCACCAAAAAAGAUAUAAGUAGUCAUCAAUACCAUUACAUGACCAAACAAGGUAUUCGUAAUCGAAAAGGAGAAAGAUGGACUGCAGCAUUCACGACGUUUGAAGAAAACCACAGAAACGAUCGAACCAAGUAUGAACGUAUGCCAUCGCCGAAAGGCCAAAAUUGGUGGGACUACAUCAGACAUCGUUUGACGUGCUUGAAGAAGGGCAUGGCUGCGUACACAACAGAACAGUAUACUCGAUUACGUUUCGAUAAAUAUUGGGUGUGUCAAUUAAUUUUAAAGGAUUAUAUAUUGAAUCAAAUCGAAUGAGCGACAACUUUGCUGCACUAAUUCAGAAUCCAAACCAAACUCGUGAAGAGGCCCAACGGCACAACGAUACGUGUCUAAGGUUAUCAACCCAUUCUGAGGACUGUCUGGCAUCGAGAUAUUUGUGCUGCCAAAUUGAUCAUGUACAGAGGACAUUGUGCACUCUUCGGAUAUGCGUUGAACGUGAGCUUCCGCCAUUGAAUUGGAAUUGGAUAUAAAAUGAAUUUAUUUUUAAAAAAAUUAUGUUAUAGUAUUUUACACAGUUGGAGUCGUCUUAGUGACUCUCAGAAAACGUACCGAGGUGGCAUUGUGCUUUAUAAUUAUUGAUAAAUGAGUGA